rnacentral:rRNA from 1 species
UGGGGAAUAUUGGACAAUGGGCGCAAGCCUGAUCCAGCCAUGCCGCGUGAGUGAUGAAGGCCCUAGGGUUGUAAAGCUCUUUCACCGGUGAAGAUAAUGACGGUAACCGGAGAAGAAGCCCCGGCUAACUUCGUGCCAGCAGCCGCGGUAAUACGAAGGGGGCUAGCGUUGUUCGGAUCUACUGGGCGUAAAGCGCACGUAGGCGGACUUUUAAGUCAGGGGUGAAAUCCCGGGGCUCAACCCCGGAACUGCCUUUGAUACUGGAAGUCUUGAGUAUGGUAGAGGUGAGUGGAAUUCCGAGUGUAGAGGUGAAAUUCGUAGAUAUUCGGAGGAACACCAGUGGCGAAGGCGGCUCACUGGACCAUUACUGACGCUGAGGUGCGAAAGCGUGAGGAGCAAACAGGAUUAGAUACCCUGGUAGUCCACGCCGUAAACGAUGAAUGUUAGCCGUUGGGGAGUUUACUCUUCGGUGGCGCAGCUAACGCAUUAAACAUUCCGCCUGGGGAGUACGGUCGCAAGAUUAAAACUCAAAUGAAUUG